GACAGAGGGUGCAAACGUUGUUCGGAAUUACUGGGCGUAAAGCGCGUGUAGGCGGCUUUGCAAGUCGGGCGUGAAAUCCCAUGGCUCAACCAUGGAAGUGCACUCGAAACUGCAGAGACUAGAGUCCUGGAGAGGAAGGUGGAAUGCUUGGUGUAGAGGUGAAAUUCGUAGAUAUCAAGCGGAACACCGGUGGCGAAGGCGGCCUUCU
rnacentral:rRNA from 1 species